rnacentral:rRNA from 1 species
ACCGUAGACCCGAAACUGUGUGAUCUACCCAUGUCCAGGGUGAAGGUCAGGUAACACUGACUGGAGGCCCGAACCCACGUAUGUUGAAAAAUGCGGGGAUGAGGUGUGGGUAGGGGUGAAAUGCCAAUCGAACACAGAGAUAGCUGGUUCUCUCCGAAAUAGCUUUAGGGCUAGCCUCAACGUGAGAGUCUUGGAGGUAGAGCACUGAUUGGACUAGGGGCCCCUAUCGGGUUACCGAAUUCAGUCAAACUCCGAAUGCCAAUGACUUAUCGUUGGGAGUCAGACUAUGGGUGAUAAGGUUCAUAGUCGAAAGGGAAACAGCCCAGACCGCCAGCUAAGGUCCCUAAGUAUGUGUUAAGUGGAAAAGGAUGUGGCGUUGCUUAGACAACCAGGAUGUUGGCUUAGAAGCAGCCACCAUUUAAAGAGUGCGUAAUAGCUCACUGGUCGAGUGACGCUGCGCCGAAAAUAUACCGGGGCUAAACACAUCACCGAAGCUGCGGAUUGUCCGUAGGACAGUGGUAGGAGAGCGUUCUAAAGGCGUUGAAGCUAGACCGUGAGGACUAGUGGAGCGUUUAGAAGUGAGAAUGCCGGUAUGAGUAGCGAAAAAGAAGUGAGAAUCUUCUUCACCGUAUGCCUAAGGUUUCCUGAGGAAGGCUCGUCCGCUCAGGGUUAGUCGGGACCUAAGCCGAGGCCGAAAGGCGUAGGCGAUGGAUAACAGGUUGAUAUUCCUGUACCACCUCCUCUCCAUUUGAGUAAUGGGGGAACGCAGGAGGAUAGGGGAAGCGCGUGAUUGGAAUGACGCGCCCAAGCAGCGAGAGUGGUGGAUAGGCAAAUCCGUCCACCGGACGCUUGAGCUGUGAUGGGGAGGGAACAUAAGUACCGAAGUCCCUGAUUUCACACUGCCAAGAAAAGCCUCUAGCGAGGAGAGAGGUGCCCGUACCGCAAACCGACACAGGUAGGCGAGGAGAGUAUCCUAAGGUGAUCGGGAUAACUCUCGUUAAGGAACUCGGCAAAAUGACCCCGUAACUUCGGGAGAAGGGGUGCUUGUCUAGGUUACG